rnacentral:rRNA from 1 species
GACGAACGCUGGCGGCGUGCUUAACACAUGCAAGUCGAACGGAAAGGCCCUGCUUUUGUGGGGUGCUCGAGUGGCAAACGGGUGAGUAACACGUGCGUAACCUGCCCUUGACUUUGGGAUAACUUCAGGAAACUGGGGCUACUACCGGAUAGGAGCUCCUGCUGCAUGGUGGGGGUUGGAAAGUUUCGGCGGUUGGGGAUGGAGGCGCGUCUUAUCAGCUUGUGGGUGGGGUAGUGGCUUACCAAGGCUUUGACGGGUAGCUGGCCUGAGAGGGUGACCGGUUACACUGGGAAUGAGACACGGACUCGAAUGGUAGGGGAGGGAGGGGAAGAGAAUAUUAGGGGAGGAACGCUAGUCCAGCAACGCCGUGCGGGGUAAGACGUCAUGCGGGUUGUAUAGUGAUUUUGCCUUAGCCGAAGCGAUAAUGACGGUAAUGGGGAAAGAAGCACCGGCUAACUACGUG